AUUGAACGCUGGCGGCAGGCUUAACACAUGCAAGUCGAACGAUGAUUUCCCAGCUUGCUGGGAAUGAUUAGUGGCGGACGGGUGAGUAACAUUUAGGAAUCUGCCUAGUAGUGGGGGAUAGCUCGGGGAAACUCGAAUUAAUACCGCAUACGACCUACGGGUGAAAGGGGGCGCAAGCUCUUGCUAUUAGAUGAGCCUAAAUCAGAUUAGCUAGUUGGUGGGGUAAAGGCCCACCAAGGCGACGAUCUGUAACUGGUCUGAGAGGAUGAUCAGUCACACCGGAACUGAGACACGGUCCGGACUCCUACGGGAGGCAGCAGUGGGGAAUAUUGGACAAUGGGGGCAACCCUGAUCCAGCCAUGCCGCGUGUGUGAAGAAGGCCUUUUGGUUGUAAAGCACUUUAAGCAGGGAGGAGAGGCUAAUGGUUAAUACCCAUUAGAUUAGACGUUACCUGCAGAAUAAGCACCGGCUAACUCUGUGCCAGCAGCCGCGGUAAUACAGAGGGUGCGAGCGUUAAUCGGAAUUACUGGGCGUAAAGCGAGUGUAGGUGGCUCAUUAAGUCACAUGUGAAAUCCCCGGGCUUAACCCUGGGAACUGCAUGUGAUACUGGUGGUGCUAGAAUAUGUGAGAGGGAAGUAGAAUUCCAGGUGUAGCGGUGAAAUGCGUAGAGAUCUGGAGGAAUACCGAUGGCGAAGGCAGCUUCCUGGCAUAAUAUUGACACUGAGAUUCGAAAGCGUGGGUAGCAAACAGGAUUAGAUACCCUGGUAGUCCACGCCGUAAACGAUGUCUACUAGCCGUUGGGGCCCUUGAGACUUUAGUGGCGCAGUUAACGCGAUAAGUAGACCGCCUGGGGAGUACGGCCGCAAGGUUAAAACUCAAAUGAAUUGACGGGGGCCCGCACAAGCGGUGGAGCAUGUGGUUUAAUUCGAUGCAACGCGAAGAACCUUACCUGGUCUUGACAUAGUGAGAAUCCUGCAGAGAUGCGGGAGUGCCUUCGGGAAUUCACAUACAGGUGCUGCAUGGCUGUCGUCAGCUCGUGUCGUGAGAUGUUGGGUUAAGUCCCGCAACGAGCGCAAUCCUUUUCCUUAUUUGCCAGCGGGUUAAGCCGGGAACUUUAAGGAUACUGCCAGUGACAAACUGGAGGAAGGCGGGGACGACGUCAAGUCGUCAUGGCCCUUACGACCAGGGCUACACACGUGCUACAAUGGUAGGUACAGAGGGUUGCUACACAGCGAUGUGAUGCUAAUCUCAAAAAGCCUAUCGUAGUCCGGAUUGGAGUCUGCAACUCGACUCCAUGAAGUCGGAAUCGCUAGUAAUCGCAGAUCAGAAUGCUGCGGUGAAUAAGGUCCCGGGCCU
rnacentral:rRNA from 1 species